rnacentral:rRNA from 2 species
GCGUUAAUCGGAAUUACUGGGCGUAAAGCGCGCGUAGGUGGCUAAGUCAGCCAGGUGUGAAAGCCCCGGGCUCAACCUGGGAACGGCAUCUGGAACUGCUUGGCUAGAGUGCAGGAGAGGAAGGUAGAAUUCCCGGUGUAGCGGUGAAAUGCGUAGAGAUCGGGAGGAAUACCAGUGGCGAAGGCGGCCUUCUGGACUGACACUGACACUGAGGUGCGAAAGCGUGGGUAGCAAACAGGAUUAGAUACCCUGGUAGUCCACGCCGUAAACGAUGUCAACUAGCCGUUGGGUCCCUUGAGGACUUAGUGGCGCAGCUAACGCAAUAAGUUGACCGCCUGGGGAGUACGGCCGCAAGGUUAAAACUCAAAUGAAUUGACGGGGGCCCGCACAAGCGGUGGAGCAUGUGGUUUAAUUCGAUGCAACGCGAAGAACCUUACCUACCCUUGACAUCCAGAGGACUUUCCAGAGAUGGAUUGGUGCCUUCGGGAACUCUGAGACAGGUGCUGCAUGGCUGUCGUCAGCUCGUGUUGUGAAAUGUUGGGUUAAGUCCCGUAACGAGCGCAACCCCUAUCCUUAUUUGCCAGCGAGUCAUGUCGGGAACUCUAAGGAGACUGCCGGUGACAAACCGGAGGAAGGUGGGGACGACGUCAAGUCAUCAUGGCCCUUACGGGUAGGGCUACACACGUGCUACAAUGGCAAGUACAAAGGGUUGCAAUACGGCGACGUGGAGCCAAUCCCAUAAAGCUUGCCUCAGUCCGGAUUGGAGUCUGCAACUCGACUCCAUGAAGUCGGAAUCGCUAGUAAUCGUGGAUCAGAAUGCCACGGUGAAUACGUUCCCGGGCCUUGUACACACCGCCCGUCACACCAUGGGAGUGGACUGCACCAGAAGUGGUUAGCCUAACCUCGGGAGGGCG